rnacentral:rRNA from 1 species
UACAGAGGUCCCGAGCGUUGUUCGGAUUCAUUGGGACGGUAAAGGGUGCGUAUGGCGGCGGGGCAAGUUUGAUGGUGAAAUCCUCGGGGCUCAACCCUGGAACUGCAUUGAAUACUGCCUUGCUAGAGAACUGGAGAGGAGGACUGGAAUUUACGGGUGUAAGCAGUGAAAUGCGUAGAUAUCGUAAGGAACGACAGUGGCGA